ACAGCGAUAAGGGAACCUCGAGUGCCAGGUUACAAAUCUGGCUGUCGAGAUGCCUAACAAGCAUUUCAUAGCAAGGGCCGGGCAAGACCGGUGCCAGCCGCCGCGGUAACACCGGCGGCUCGAGUGGUAACCGUACUUAUUGGGUCUAAAGGGUCUGUAGCCGGCCGGAUAAGUCUCUUGAGAAAUCUGGCAGCUUAACUGUCAGGCUUUCAGGAGAUACUGUCUGGCUCGAGGCCGGGAGAAGUGAGAGAUACUUCAGGGGUAGGGAAGAAAACUUGUAAUCCUUGAAGGACCAUCAGUGGCGAAGCCGUCUCACCAGAACGGACCUGACGGCAAGGGACGAAAGCUAGGGGCACGA
rnacentral:rRNA from 1 species